CUGCAGACCUUUCCAGCGAGGCCAAGCCUGCAGUGGUUAUGUCCUUUCCUGUAGUGUCUGCUAGAGAGAGAUGAGGUCUGUUUGAGGCCCUGCUGUGUGACUCUUCAUGGCAGGGUUAUAGGUAAACCUCAGACAAAC
ensembl:snoRNA